GCUCCACCUGGGCCCACUCAUCUCCUUACCACUCUCAGCUGCAGGAGAGCAAUGUUGUAAACCAUGAUUUCUGUCUCAACUAGAUUAGCUGGUAAGAACUUGGGGUAAUCCUGGAAGAAGCUGUACCUUAAGGACUGGAAAGCACGGGCACCAGGAAAAGAGCACUGAUUCACAGCACUAUUGACUAGGAAAGGAGUCUUUUGCAUCACAGUGGCCAUUCUGUAGGCAUAAGGGAUUAAUAAAUUUUUGACUAAUGAUACAAUCUGCCGUUGUGUAUUUAUUGCCUGGGCACAGGCAGGAUCUAUGACAAAUACUGCUCCAGAAAACUUCUUAGCAAUACUUAAUUCUUGUUUAGAAAGAGUGAACACACUCGGAGACGUAUGAGUCACUUAUGAGAAGAUACAUAGUUUUAAAAGCACUUGAAAGAGUUGGAAAUCACUGAGGUAACAGAGAUAAAAAAUAUAUCUCCAGUUUUUGGUAUCGUCUAAACAUCAUAGCUGCAUUAUAACUAAGUUAUAUGUCACAAACAAACUGAUGGAUAACAGAAUAAGUGAAAAACUCCAGUCACAGCAAGAGGGGAAUACAGAACUGAGGAUGUUAAUUCAUCAUUCAGUGCUGUUUAAUGACUCACAUUCCACCCCAUGAUACUUAAUCACAAUGAAAUGCUGCAAAGAUGCACUGAAAAAAGUGGGAUAAUAGCUGACUCCCAGUGAAUUUUCAGGUUGUUUUACUGGAAGUCAAUCAUAAAUAUUGCAUAAAAAAUGUAAAAAAUGAUAACAAUCUAAGUUUCUCUAGUGAUGAUUAUUGAAGCUAUACAAAAACAUUAAGUAUGCUUUUAGAUUUCCAAGUUUCAGUCUCUUGUGAAAUACUUUUGCACGUCUGACAAACUUCUUGAGUGUCAAGUACAACCUCAUGUUUCUGUAUUCCUUUUCAAAAUGUCACUGUGUUGAUUAUCAGCAUGGAGUUCUACAGUGCAGAAAAGAAUGAAUGGAUAGCAUGGCAGAGAGCACUUUUUCAUUCUUUGAAGGAAAGAAAAAAGACAUUCUGUUAACAAUGGAUCUCUCCACACACAAGGCAAAAUGUUCUUAUACUAUUGUGGAUUCAAAGAAGUUUGUGGAUUUUUCAUCACUUGCAUGAUGACUACAAUAAAUGAUCAUGGAACUGGCCUAGAAAUUUAACGUACUUCAUUUUAGAAGCAAUUGCCAAUGGAUCAUAACCAAAAAUGGCAAUAUUGCUGACAAAAGUGUAUCAAUAGUGCUUUUUGGAGGAGUGGAGAAGAAGAGGAAGUGCCCUUUCUACUUUCUUGAGAAAUGAAGGUUAAAUAAAGAUGUUGGAGGAAACAAUUUAAGUGUUAUAUAAGCUAUAUUAAUAUUUAAAUGGUACUUCUAUACUUCAAAGGGUUUUUAUCUUGUUGACUGUCACUGAACUUCCAAGAAUCUCUUUUUCAUAUAUUUAAUGUUUUGGGUGGAUGGGUAAUUUGGCAAAUCACAAGAUAUGGAUUAAGGCAAAAUCCUCACAGGGGUAUUGCCAUUAAAUUAAAUACUUGGGAGUUAACAUAGAUGGCAGACAAUAAGCUGGAAACUUGUAAUAAGGAAUCAAAAUAAAAUCUUACAAAUGUUUAACAUUAUGCUUGUUCCCACAUGUAAGCAAUGUUACUGCAGUUAUUAGAAAAACUUUCAGUGACUACAGCUGCAUGUUUUUUCAAAAAUGGACCUUAAUUUUUUUCAAGAGUUUCAGGAAGGUAGGAAAAACAAUCAUAUCUACAGAAAAUUUGAAAGGGAGCUAUAAAAUCUGAAAACAAAUCUAAAUAGAUGCUGGAUAUUUUUUUACUAAUUGGUGGAGUUGUUCAGUGUUGGAAAGCAUCAUUUUUUCUUAUAAAAAAUUAAUUCUGUUUAUUACUUUGAAAUAUAAAGCAAGUUAAAUGAAUAAAUAUACAGAACUUUAAACUUUGAAUUAUUUACUAUGAAAAGUCCUUAGGAGGUACUGGAGCAGUUGCUGUUUGAAGGUUCAGUUCACUCAGAUAAUAAGAGCUUCUGGUGAUUUGGUAGAUAUUUGGAGGAAAAUAAAACUGGCAACAAGCUUGAAGAUAUUUUUCUGUCUUCAGGCUGCUAGAAAUGUGGCACAUUUAUUUAGAAAGGAGGGAGGGAUAGGGAGACAGUUUAAAAGAAAAAAAUAUAGUAGAUAAACUAAUGCUCCAUUUUCAGCAUCUCUCAGCUUGAAAUACAAUGAAGCACAUAAUGUCCCUGUAGCUACAGCAGGCUUCCUCAUAAAUACUGGUGACAUGCUGAAUCUUUUAAGAAAAGGGAUGGAAGUCAUUAGACUUCUCAUUAAUGGCAUGGCUCUUGGAUAAGAGACCUAAUGACUGCUGAAGCAUGAAAAGACACCCUGGCAACUGCUGAUCUUCUGAAGGUUUCUUCCUCCCCUGCUAUUUCCAUUGGACCUUUUCUUUAUAAACAGAGAGGAACUUGAAGUAUAAGAUGUAGACCAGUGACGUGAAAGAUGUAGGACCUAAGCUGCAGCUUCUCACUGAUAGUUUUCAGAUCUCAUUCAGUAACAUGAAGGUUUUUUUUCUUAAUUGCGUGUGCAGUCCUAUAGAUGCUACAAAGCAUGGGAACCAGAGUGCUUUAAAAAUUGUUUCUACAGUCUUUGAUUUAAAUCAGCUUUUCUGAUGUCUGUGACAGAUGGUGAAAACUGAGAUAACACCACAACUGCGUGAGGCAGAAGUAAAUGUAAAUUUAAAAUGACUUAAAGUGCUUGCAAAGAUUAAUUACAGUAUAGAGAUAUGCAUGCCAUAGCUGGCACAGUCUCUCUAUAUCAUACGUAAGUAUAUUUGAUUAUAUAAGUUCAAAAAUAGCUUUUAUGCAGUGACUAAGAUGCCUUUUUAUUUUUGAUAUGCUUUAACUUUCAUAAAUUCCUUUGAUGUAAACCAAACUCUACUUUCUGUGUAUCAGCCGUAUGACUUAUUUGGAUAUUUUGUUGUAAAAUGUAAGAAAGAGAAUAUUCUGCUUCAGCUGUACUUUAACAAGCUGGAUCAUUCUUUAUGUGCUUGCUUACAAAUAACAUCAAUGCCACAGCAGGAUGAAGAGUUAGUACAUUUUAGCAAGAAACAGGGACACCAUUUUCCCACUUUCUGCACUAAAAAAAAGCAGAAAAAAAUCAAGUGUUUCCUCAACCUGCAGGAUGAAGAUUAAAGACCCUUAGCCUGUACAUUUAGACACGCAGUCAUUUUAGUGCAAAUACAGGUGCCAAACAAAGAUGCAGAAAACAUAUUAACUAUAAUAUGCUCUAUCUUGCUCUUAAAACAGCUAUCUUGUUGGCUCAGGGAACAGGGCUCUGUUUAGCAUUCCUCUACCACACUGUAUGGCAUACAUGCUAAGCAUGUUUAUCAUAAGCACAAACAAAUUAACUCCUACAGGAAACACAGCACAUUCUGAAUGUCACCUACAUGUAGGUGAUUCUGAAAGUCACCUACAGAGAUAACCUAGUCAAAUACCUCUGGUCAAAGCAGAAUCAUCUAAAGCUGGUUGCCCUGGACCACGUCCAUUUGAAUUUUGACUGUCUUCAGAGUCAGAGUCUCCAAAGCCUGGUCAGCAUGUUCUGAUGUUCAACCACCCUUACCACAACUUGAAAAGUGUUUUGUUCUUAUGUUUCAACAGAACUUCCUAUAUUUAUUUGUACCUAAUACCUCUUGUUCUAACAAUGGAUAUCAAUGAAAAGAAUCUGUGUCUAUCUUCUUUACCUCCUACAAGGUAUUUACAAAAACUGAUAGCAUUCCCCUGUAUCUUCUCUUCUCCAUGCUGAACUGUCCCAGCUCUCUCAGCCUUCCCUUACUGGAAAGAUAUUCCAAGAACUUUAUUAUCUUUGAGGUCAUUUGCUGCUUUUACUUCAACAUGUCAAUUUCUUUCUUCUGCUGGGCAACUCAGAACUAAACCAAAUGUGACUCUAUUGCAUGCAUCAUACAGAUAACUUCUUAGAUUUUGCAUUCCCUUAAAUCAAUCAUACAAGCUUCCUCCUUGUCCAUGAAGGCGCACUUUUCUGAUGAGCAAAGAGCUCUUUCUUUCCAUGUAGAACUUUGUAUUGGUAUUGUUGUACUGGACUCUAAAUCAGAAUGCAAUAGCUAUCUGAAGGAAAAUGUUGCCUUUGUGGUCUAAAGAACAAUGGGAGCAAACUUGAAACACUGUCCUGAAUCAUCGCUCAUCAGUAGUCAAACUGAUAAGGAAAAUAGUUUAAUAGAAAGGGAGUGGGGUGAGGGGAGACUAGACAGAACAGAUAAUUUUGAUAUCUCAGAAUCAUUUUACUGAACAGCAAUGAUGGAAGUGAGUCAUUUGCUCACUAUGACUCAAGGACGUUUCAUAUAAAAUCAAGGUCUGUAAUCUCUCUGCCUAGUGUAAAUUAUAUUUGAAUAGCAAUAGGAAGACAAAUGCUAUUUAUAAAAAUGAGUGAAAUCAGCUGCUGAUUGGAUAGUAAAAAAAAAAUAAUCUAAGUUGGAGAUAAAUCUUUGCAAACUUACACAGCUUAGAAGAAAUGCAUUUCAGCUUAAUGUCAAGGAAGGCCAUGUACAGUGUGAGCAAUACAUACUAUACGUCUGUUUACCUAUAGCUUUUUUCCUGGGUUGUAGCUUGUUAGUAAAUAGGAAAAGUAGUUUUUACUCAUUUUCAAUAGAGUUAGAGAACUCAGCUAAACUCCUUGCAUGUGGAUGAUCCUAUUGAUUCUCAUUUCAGGAAUUUUCACAAAGACAGAAAAAUCGUGCAGUGGAAUUGUCUUUCCUCAAUUAGGUGAAAAAUAUAUUGCAUAGAUGCAAAGUUACUGCUGUGCUGGUGGUAACAUGGCAUUACUCAGGAUAUUUCUAGGAGUGCAAUUAAGUUCUUGCAAAUUCUUGCACUUUGGUUUUGACAUUUAGACCUUUUCAAUGUAAGAUUACAGAAAUUGUGCCUGGCUGCAGUGUCUCAUUUACGCAUUACUGCCACUGUGGAUGUGUUGGACAAAAUUUGGCAACCUGACCCCAACUUCUGCUUACCUAAUUGAAUGGGAGAAAAACAUCCAGGCAGAAAAUAUGGUGGAAUUUUCCUUCUUUUCCUUCAUCCCAUACUGGUUUAUAACGCAGAUUACAUAAUUUUGUCCAAUCACCUUUUACAUAGAGGCUAAUAAACAGCACCACCCAUGUUCAUUAAUCUAAAAUAUGGCCUAGAGUAGGUGAAUUUUCAUUAAUCCUCAAAUAAAGUAUAUUAAAUUUGUAAGUUGACAACUUUAUGCUAGUUGAUCAAAUAUCAAAAUAUAUUCUUGUAUGUCUACAUAGAAAGUUAUGAAAAAAUGCAAGUGAAAUCAUCCUGUGCUCAUCACUUCUUCCUUCCCUCUUUAGAAUAAAAGCCCCACAGUCCACAAAGGUGAUUUUGCCUCUGAUUAUGUGGGAUCAGAGUGAAAAAGUAACUGUGUUACUUCUACAGAAUACUGCUUUUCUCGUGUGAUAUCUUCAGGAAAUUUUCUUCUCAAAAAUUCCUUGUGUGACUGAUCAUGGUAAAUGUAAAUGAAACAAUAAUUUUUUCUUCUGCUAUACUUUAUUACAGAGUUAAAGGGAC